CCCUCCCCCCCCCCCCCCCCCCCCCCGCCCCGUACCCUAGACUUCCCGUGCCCAGGCGGGGGCCUCUUUUGUUGCCGUCUGUAACCCUUCGCCAUGCCCAUAGGUGGUGCUGCUGUUGCUGAGCAUGCUGGCCCUCCUCCCCAACACCACUGCUCUCCACCCCCCCACCGCGCCCUCCCCCUUUCCCCAGCCCUCUACUGCCUGAUUGUUAUUCCACCAACGUCUCCUCUACUGUUCCCGUCCUCAAAUUAAUUUUGUGGCGCUCUUUUUUCCGCAGUGCCAUCUUCCCCUCCCCCCCGCUCCAGCUCUCUUGCUUUCUCUAUUUCUCUCUCUCUGCAGGGUUUUUAUCGGCCACCCCUAUCUAAAAUCUACACUCUUCCUUACGCCCUUUCUUUUUCUUUCUCUCUUCUACUGUUGGCAUCUUACAGAUGACUCUCCUAAUGAAAAGCGGCUGUGGAUGAGAGUGGGUGAGAAGAGAGCAGGGUGAGGGGAACUGAGGAGUCAGUGUCGAGGGCUAGGUCAGGAGAGUGACAAGGCUCUGAGGGAAGUGAAUGGAAGUGGAAAAGUAAAGGUAUCCUUUGCUGUCCAGAUCUGUUCAGUGUUUGGAUUUGGAUGAGAGCUCAGCUGGCAAGGGAAUACUGUGUUAUCUGAAUUCACAGAAUUUGAUUCCAUGUGCUGGGACAGUGGGAGAUAGGGAGUUACAAGAAUUCAGAUAAUAAGGGCUUCAUCCAAAAACUUCUGGUUUAGAGGCGCCUGGGUGGCUCAGUCGUUAAGCGUCUGCCUUCUGCUCAGGUCAUGAUCCCAGGGUCCUGGGAUCGAGCCCUGCAUAGGGCUCCGCAGGAAGACUGCUUCUCCCUCUCCCACUCCCCCUGCUUAUGUUCCCUCUCUCACUGUGUCUCUCUCUGUCAAAUAAAUAAAAUCUUCAGCCAAAAAACCCCAAAAAACGUGUGGUUUAGAUUGCUAAGGAUAGCUGUGCUUUUGUUACCCUGUAUUUGAAGACUCAGGAAGAAAACCGUGCUCUAAAACCUGUUCUCUGGUCCCUCAGGAGAUGUCCUGGUACUGAUCUUUUGAGUCUUGAGAAGGUCCUCUUGCCAGGACAGCUGUGAUGCCUGCUUGGUGGGUAUCCUGGCUGCCUGCUGAGCACAGUUCUGGCUAUAGGACCUCAGUUUGCUCUUGCAGCCUGCUGCUUUCUCCUGCCAUUCCGGGUCUCCUUUAUCUCAACCAAGUUGACAUGGUUGCCAUGUCUGCCUUUCUCUCAGCCAUAGCUGCCUUUAUUGUUUAGUCUUUCCAGAAUAUAGCCCAAAUGCAUCAGACCACUACCCUAGCUCUUACCCCACCUGGCUUCUUAACUUUAUCUGGAGACUGCUCAUUGUGUGACCAAUACAACCCCUCAGCUAACUCAGCAGUGUCAUUGAUUGUAAGGUUAUCCCGUUUCUAGGAUGGCUAAUUUUCCUCUUACUGAAUUAUCUUUAUGGAUGAAUAGCAUCCUAGCAACUCUCUGGACAACAGUGCUGAGUCUUUGCCUUGUGUGUGCCCUAGGAAUUAUGGAUGAACAUCCUUCCUUCAUUUCCCCAUGAGAGGAGAUCUUCCGUAGCAUAUGUGGCUGUCCCAGAGCGACUGGCUCCCAAUUCCCUAGCAUGUGUGGGUCAAAGCUGCCUCCUAGAUUGGAGAGAGGCAGAGUUGCCUGCCCAGCAGAGCAUGGGAAGGAGCCUCAGUGAAAACGGGGGCUAGAACACCACACCCUUAGCUUUUUUCUCCAAGCCUUGCAGGUGUCUGUGAAAACCUCUCUUGCCUGCCUCUCCCACCUUCCUAAGGUGUGCAUAUUGAUGGAGGCAGGUAGGCCAGUGGACUCUUUGUUUCCUCAGCUGAAUUUUCUACUGCCCUUUUUCAGACCCUCUAGUUAGGGUCAUGGACUCAUGUAAUAUAGACAGUGAUCCCUGUUAAGUUCCCUCUCUUAAAAGCAAGGCCCUGGGGCACCUGGGUGGCUCAGUCGUUAAGCGUCUGCUUUCGGCCCAGGUCAUGAUCCCAGGGUCCUGGGAUCGAGCCCCGUAUCGGGCUCCCUGCUCCGCGGGAAGCCUGCUUCUCCCUCUCCCGCUCCCCCCCGCUUGUGUUCCCUCUCUCGCUGUGUCUCUCUCUGUCAAAUAAAUAAAAUCUUUAAAAAAAAAAAAAAAAAAAGCAAGGCCCAAUAAAUAUUUGUUGCACUGAAUGGCAGGAACUUUUCAGCUUAGUACCUGUCUAGAAGAGUUAUAAAUUAAGUUUUAACUGUUUCUUCCCUUAGUGCUUAUGGUGCUGUAGCAAAAAUUGGUUGAUUUUUGUUUCUUUCAUUCAAGCCUUACAGAGGGAAGUGAUUUGUCCAAAACUUUAUGAAUAAAUCAUUAGCAGAGCUGGCAUGAGAGCCUAUAUAUCCUCUCCGACAUCUAGGUCUGGCUUUGUUGACUCCCUCUUGGAAACCAGUGUUCCUAUUUCAUCCCCAGAGUCACUGACAGCCUUGAAGCCAGCAGCAGGUCAGGUUUUAUGUCUAAGCUAAGCCAGCCUUGGUUGGCCUGCUGAGGGAGAGCAUUAGCAGUGGGAGAGCUGGGGUAUGUGGGCCAGCCGAGGCACCUGCCAGAUUCCUUUCGGGUGUUCCACAAUCCAGCCUAUUGGAGAGGCCUUGACAGUAGCAAGGUAGGGGAUUUCCAAAGCCCUGGCUUCUAUUUCCCAUUCCACAUUUAAUUUGACCUUAUUGCUAAUAUACCCCUUUCCCUAAGACUUCUCCCCCUCAAAACUAUCUUAGAGCUCCAGCUCUUAAGUGGUGGAUGCUGGAAACUCUGGUCUCUGUUCUUUCCUUGCUGCUCAUUUGCAACUAACUCUUCAGUUCCAGGCUCACUAAAAUAACAAAAGGUUCUAUGGAACACCUGCUUCCUCCUACUCAUGCCUGUGAUCUGGAAUCUAGUGUAAAACCAUCAUUGUGGCUCUAUUAAUAAAUGUCCAUGUAGUUUUUUAUUGUUAAUUUAAACCUAGACUAGAAAAUAGGCUCAGAAAGCAUUCAUAUAUUUCUAUUCUGACUGAGCCUGUAGCAACUUCCUGAGAACUGCUUUGUCUCAUCUGCCAGCCUUGGGUUUAGCCCCAUGGGUGAACUCUGGAGAAUAAAGAGCCCCCGAGUUUCUACUUCCUCUCUCCCAAUUGUGAUUCACUCACUGCUAGCUCUUGCAGGAAGCCCUAGGAGGUAAAGAGAUCAAAUCAGAAUUCCUAGCCAGGAAAACCCUGUCUCUUAGCUACAAUGACCCCUAUCUGCCAUUGCAUUCAGCUCUAUGGCAGUUAACACCAGAAAAGCUUCAUCUGGCUUCACACCCUCCUUCUGUUUCUUUCAGACAAGCCUUAUGUAAUCUAUCACUGAUGGCAGACUUCCUUCUUGCCCUCCUCUAUUCCCUCCAAGGCUUUAAGCUCCAAAGCUUCCUAGAUGCCUCCCACCAAAGGGGUGCUUUCUGAAGCCCCUUUCCUCUCUUUCUCAUCCCUCAAAUCCUCAAAUCAGCCCCCUAAUGGAUGUAUUUCCCUCAGUAGCAGAUGAUACCCUUAGUGAGCCAGCUGGGUGGUGCUAAAAACCCCAUUCCUCACCCAUCUCCCCGCUGGAGCUCCUGGAAUCGGGUCUGCAGCCUCCUGUCAUCCUAGCCUCCUUUUCUGUUCAUUUGGAAGCUUUUCUCCAUUGCUUUUGAUAAAUUCCUGGUUUGGCAGAAAUAUCCAGUAUUUAGGAAGGUCCUGCGAGAUGAGUUCCCUGUCUCCGGCACCUUAGUUGACCCUCAGAAGGAUCUGCUCCUGCCCCUCCCUGCCUUGCUGCCUUUCCCCCUCUGCCCGGCCUAGGCUGGGUGGGAUCAGUAUGUGGAAGUCCUCUGCUCGGACACUCCAUCCCUCUUUAUCCAUCAUGGCAAACAAAGCGUAGCUGUGCCCCUGACUUCCUCCUCUUCCUUCUCCAUUAUUUAUUUCUUCUCUUUCGCCUUCUCCCACCUCUCCCUUCCCUCCUCACGUAACACUUUUCAUUCCUCUUCCUUUAAAUCUCCUCGUCCACUUGCUCCCCCUCGCCCAUCUGUGCCUACUCCCUCCACACCCCCAUCUCUCAUUUUCAAUAGCUAUCUUCCUCAUUGCCUGCACAUGCUGAGGAAACAGGCAGGUAUGGGAAGAAUGGCUGCAAAGUGGGUCUCUGGUUGUCAGAGUAAGCUAUCCCUUUUUCUCCAGAGGAUUAGUGCCUAUCUUUUCCCAUCUUGUCCUCAGUGGUCCUUUGGAGCCAGGGAACCCCAAGAUGCUGGCUCGCUCUUUUGGGAUGAACAGUCCCUCCUCUUUGCUUCAUCCAGUGUUGCAGAGGAGAGGAGUCAUUGGAUCCGAUGCCCUCUUCUUUUGCUCUUCCUGAGUGUGGGUCUGUCCGUGUUUCUCCCCCUUCUUUCUUGUUUUCUCCCUCUUUCUGUCUCUCCCCAGCACAAAGCAGCGGCAGGACUGAACGAUUCUGUCUAGAGGCUCUGCCAGUCUAUGCCCCUCACUCUUGCCCCUCCCCCUUCGCUGUGCGUGCUAUGGGAGGGGGGGUUGGAGGGCGGUGGCAUGGUGCCAGCCAACCCAGAACCAUCUCCGGUGCCUUCUGCACUAAGGCGGGCUCUGUCUCUCCUGCCCUCCUCCUCUCCCACUCUUCCUCUCCCAUUUUUAAUUAGCUGCUGCAUUAAUUAAAUCCCACAUGCUAAUUAACAUUCCUACGGGGAAGCAAGCCGGGUCAGAAAAGCAGGGGGUGGUAAAGCAAGGCUUCUGUCCAUCUAGGAUAGGAGACUUUGGGAUGGGAGGUAGGGGGAAAGGGGAUAAAGGGUAGAUGAGGAAAGAAUCUAAGUGGAAAGAAACCCGAGAGAGGUAUAAAGAGACAGAGAAGGGAAAUCAUGGAGAAUGGAACCUAUUAAAAAGGAAAAUAAUUAGAAUAAUUAAAAUGGGAGAAAUGAAAGUGUCUUGAAGCCUCUGAAGGUUAGAGGUAGAGCUAUGGGUCUCAACAUUAGCAUGCAUGAGUAACCUGAGAAAUAAUGAUACAGAGGAUGCUAAUUUGCUGCCGUGAAUGUCUUCCAAAGAAAUAAAUCUCAAUUUCAGUAGGAGUGCUUUAGGUUAGUAAUGAAGGAGGACUUCCUCCUUGCAAGGCAGUGGCAUACUCUGCUGAAGAAACUCUUUGGGAGAUAAAUUCUUACCUGUCUAGAAUGGUUAAAGUUUGCCCCAAACCAGCGGAGAUGAUGAACUUUGAAGGUGUUUUCUAAAUAGACAAAUAUUAAUCUGUAAGUGUGUACUCUGUCCUGGAGAACCAAGAAAAUCCAGGAUGGGAAAAUUCAGGAUUCGUUCUCAGUUCCCUUUACUUACUGCAUUCUGGUGAGCUUUGAGUUUGCUCUCUGUAGUCCUGUCAACUUUUUAGGGAUGAGCCUUCUCCUUAAAUUAGAUAAUUGCUUUGCUGGGAGGUUUAGAGCACUGAUUCCUGGUGAGAUCUUCAGAAAGAUGAGUGCCUUAUGGCUACCAUGGCAUCUGUCUUUGAGCAAGGGGUAGAGAGACGAGAACAACUGGAGUUACAUGUAAGAGAGCAGAGAAGGGAGGUUUGGGUAUGGAUUGACAAGGGUAGGUCUGGCACCAAGGAUUCCAUUAAAGUCACUACUGUGGCCCAACCUGAAAAAAUUAAGGACAUCUUGUCAUUGCUUUUCUUCUCUGAAGGGUAAAGAAAACUGUAUUCAAUACAGCUCUAAACUCCCCCUUGUUUAGCACCCCACCCCCCUCCACCAAGAACUCAAGUCUGGGAGGAGUCCAGCAGGUUAGAAGAAUGUUUCCCAACCAUUUUGAGUCUGAAAUACACCGAGAGCAAGUGCUGUGUUGUCUACACCCCUAACCAACCUUCACUUAGACGGCGUUAAUUCACUCAAAUAUAUUUGCAUACAAGCCGUGCAGAGUGUGAUACAGUGCAGUAAGUCAGCCUGUGUGUAUGUAUCAAUGUGUGUGUGGUCCUCUAGCACCUAUUGGCCUGUGCUGGUCUUGUGUCCUCUUAUAUUGUUACUUAUUCUUUCUUACAUCUGUGUCUGAUCUGUCACAGAGAUGGUGGCUCCUGGAGAAACCAGGUCUUUGGAGUGGGACACACAGAGCACUAGCCUAAACCCUUACAUGUUUGCAGCUCCUCAGCAAAUGUUGAUUAACAUACAGCCAUAUAUCGAGGUUUAACAGUUGAUUUAGAGUCUGUGACAUUCCUAGUUGUGGCGAAUAUUUUCCUCUGAAGGGACCACUUAUUUUUUAAAGUUAUGAAAAGCGUGACGGUGAGUAAGAUAAUGAAUUAUGUGACGAGUAAGGUAGGCAACUCCUUGAUGGGGUUUGACGCCAGUUUCUAAAGAGGGGCCAGGCCUGAGGAGAGGCAGCGGAGUGCAGAGAACAGGGCAUAGGCUUGUUGUUGUCUGUACUGUGUUCCCUUUCACUCUCUCGUAGACAUUUCCCAGCAUCUUCCCACUCCAGAAUUAUGAUUAGGCCAUUCGUGCCCAUUUACAUCCUAUUUUGUCCACUUAAUGUUGUGUCAUAUUCUCCUGUGCUAUUAAAAAUCAGGUUAAAGAACACCUCAUGAACAUGUAAUAUUCUAACAUGGAUGUACCAUAAUUUGUGAAACCAUUUCUUAUUGUUGGACAUUUAGGAUGUUUCCAGGUUUGUUGUUAUUGUUUCUUCCUUCUGUGAUGGAUAUCCACAUCUUUAUACUUAAAUCUUGCAAUUUUCCGAAGUGGAAUUUCUGGAGCAAAGGAUAAAGACCCCCAUUCUGGUUUGUGGAUUGACUGCAUUUGAUUCACGUAAGGAAGCUUAUUAUUAUUUAAUUUUUUAAAAGGUUUUUUUUUUUGAAUAGGUAAAAAAUUCAGACACUACAAAAGGGAACACAAUGCAAUUUCCUUCCACCUUUGUCCCUCAUUUCCCUCCCCAGAGGUGUUCUAUGCAUGUAUAAGCAUAUGUAUAGCUGUAAAAAAUAGAAAUCAGGGCGCCUGGGUGGCUCAGUCGUUAAGCGUCUGCCUUCGGCUCAGGUCAUGAUCCCAGAGUCCUGGGAUCGAGCCCCACAUCAGGCUCCCUGCUCCGCGGGAAGCCUGCUUCUCCCUCUCCCACUCCCCCUGCUUGUGUUCCCUCUCUGGCUGUCUUUCUCUCUGUCAAAUAAAUAAAACCUUUUAAAAAAAAAAUAGAAAUCAUUCAAUCCCACCUCCAGAAAUUCUAAUCUGGUCUGAAAAGGAGCCUUAGAAUGUCUCCUCCCCUUCCCCCACCUGUAAUAGCUUUCUAGCUAAUUCUACUGUGCAGGCAGAUGUGGGAACAACCACCAAGUCAGAUGAACUCUCGGGAUCCUUUCCAGCUCUAAAAUUUAAUGACUGAAACUCACAGAAUUAGUAAUUUAAAAAAUAAUAAUGAUUAAUGUUAAGACUAAAUCAUAAUCAAGUGUCAUAAAGAUUCUCUUUGAAAUGAUCUCAGGGAUCCAAUUUUUGAUACUGAAUUUAUUAUUAUUAAUACAAAUAAUGGCUACCAUUUAUGGAGUGCUUAUCUGUGCCAGGCUUUUAGAAAGUACUUUAAACAUUCUCAUUUAAAUCUCAUAGCACCCCAUGAGCUAGGUAAUUCUUAAAGCGAGGCUUUGGAAAGAUCAAGCAGUGAGCCCAUGAUUGAGGAACCAUUAAGUGGCAGAAUGAAGAUUUGAACCCAGGCGGCUUCCUCUGGUGUCUAUUCACCUCUAUCCCCACCCCAGCCGUGAGAUCAUACUCUGCCUGUUGUUUGGUAAACUUCCUUUUUUCACUAAAAUGUGUCUUGAAUGUCUUUUGUUUCAUAUAUAAAGGUGGUAUUUAUGUUCAUUUUUAGGUUUUUUAUUUUAUUGUUUUGUCAUGCAUUACACAUGAAUACAUUUCUAAAACAAAAAAUUAAAAUAGUACAGAUAACGGAAACUCCCUUGAUCUCACGCCCUCAAUUCUUAUAACCACUGUUACCAGAUUUGUAUGUAUCUGGGCCCUCUUCCAUGCAUUUAUGUAUGUACAGAAAUAUAUGGUUUUUUUGAGUGUUUUGUAGUUGCUAUUUUACUUUUACAUGAAUGGGAGCACCCUAUACAUAGGGUUUUGUAACGUGCUUUUUAAAUUAUUGUAUCAUGAAAGUCUUUCUAGGUCUUUAAAGAUCCUUUUCAAUUUUUUAAUUGCUACAUAAUACCUAUAGCUUAAGCAACUAUUUUGCUGGUGAUAGGAAUUAUUAUAAACACUACUAUUGUGAAGAAUGUUGAAUUGUUUUUCUCACAGAUGCCUAGAAGUAGAAUUGCCGGAUAGAAGUUUUAAAAUGUUAAUGGACACUGGAGUUGCCCUCCAGAAAGGCUAAAUGAGUUUGUACUUCACCAGCAGUGCACGAGAGUGGCAUUUCCCUUGCCAGUACCGGACACACUGCAGCUCUUCCCCUGAAUUUGCUUUAUGUUAAUUGCUUCUUCUGGAUGGUCUCUUGCAGAACAAGCCAAAUAUUGACAGAUCUCUUUUGAUUAAACUCUAGGGUAACUUUUCGCCUAUUAUUUCUGACCUCUGUACUGGGCCUGUUCUCUGAGAUACAUAGACCUUUUUUUUUUUUUAAAGAAUCGAAUUGUCUAAGUCUUGUGUCUCUUCCGGAAUGUCCUCAUGCCUGUCUGCAACCCCUUUCGCAGUCGUUAAUAUACCUGGAAUGGUUUAGGCAUAACCCUGCUUACAGCCAGAAUGCUUCUCUCAAUUACCUAUUGGCACAGGGAGAAGCGAGUCAAAGAAUUACAUAACACUUUUUUUUAACACAUUGUUUAUUCGCUAUUUUAAUACUUUCUUUGUUUCGUAGCUAUGAUUUCUUCCUAUUGUAAUCUUUUUAGAAUGUGUGAGUCUGGUACCUUGAGUAGACGCACUAACUGGUGGGAUUAUCAUCAGCUUGUCAAGAGGCCUCUUGGUUUAUAGGGCAGCACUGACUAGCACCCAGAGUGAAAGGGCCUGCCCUAAUGAUAAGGCAGCCUCAAGCCUUACUGACUUUUGGAUCGCAACACAGGGAUAAACAACAAAGAAAGACAAACAGUACUAAAAUUAAAUGAGAAGAAAAAAACAUUGUUUGCUACAUUAACAGGUUCAGUUGCCUUAAUAGUUAUUAGAGGAAAAAUAAAGGAGAUGGUGAAUUUAGAAAGGCUGCUUUCUAUUCUUUAAGGCCAUUCUUGAUUCUUCUCCUGUGUGAAUAAUGGAAGAAGAGCAGAUAUGUGGAGGGCUAAGAGGUCUUUCCCAGCCCUGCGGAUCUAGAGUCCUUGAAUAAUUUGGAGGAUUUGUUUCCGUGGCUAUAGAAAAUGCCAUUUGGGCAAUUUACCUUCCAGAUCUUGAUGUUAUCGACUGAUAAAUGACGAAAAAAAUUCUCAGGGAUCAUUCAAGAAAUUUUGGGGCUCUAAUGCUGAAAGGGAGUUUGAAGAUCGUUUAAUAACAGCAUAUGGUUUAGUGGGUUUUGGGAUCUGAAAAAAAACUGAAGUUCAGCCACUUCUUAGCUGCAGAGCUUUUGGCAAGUCACCUCUCUGAGCCUCAGUUACUUCGUUUGCAAAAUAAAGAGAAUAACUCCAUUCUAGGAUUUUUACAAAGGAUAAAAAUAAGUAUAAAGCCUUUCUUGUAGUUCCUCGCCUUUGGAAGGUACCUUAGUGCAUGUGGUUAUCAUGUGGGCCAGCACCCUAUUUUGCAUGAGGAAACUUGGGCUCAGGGAAGUGAAAUGGACAGCCCAAGGUCACAGAGGGUGUGAGUAGCAGAGCCAGGCCUCAGAUUUAGAUUUUUUUUACUUUUGGCCCAGUUUCCUUUCUAACAGCCUACAUUUAGUCUUUUUUCAUUCUUUAUUAAAAAACAAACAGGGGCGCCUGGGUGGCUCAGUUGGUUAAGCGACUGCCUUCUGCUCAGGUCAUGAUCCUGGAGUCCUGGGAUCGAGUCCCACAUCGGGCUCCCUGCUCGGCAGGAAGUCUGCUUCUCCCUCUGACCCUCCCCCUCUCAUGUUCUCUCUCUCUCAUUCUCGCUCUCAAAUAAAUAAAUAAAAUCUUUAAAAAAAAAACAACAACAAACAAAAAACGUGCUGCCCCUCCCCCCCAUUCUUCUUUGUCUUUCUUUGUGUAUAGAGAGAUAAUAGGGGCAGGAACCCUACAGAGGUACAGGAUAGGAGGAAGUAUUCUGUUGGAGAAACUUAAUUGACCAGCUUAUCAAAAUGUCUUGCCAGGCUGGCAGAAAACCAGUGAUCCUGGAUCCAGCUCUGGCUGUAAGCAGUGAGAAAUGUAUUUUGAGCUCCUCUACUCCCUCCCCGUUAUUUCCUUCAGUGCCCGCAAGCUCUGGUUGGCCAGGACUUCCAAGAGGAUGAGGCUGAUUUGAGCCAGUAUCCUCUUGACCAACUCUGUUUUGCUCCUCACUGGGAGCUGCUGAGAGGAAAAUGGCUGGUUGGCCUUUGGGAUGUUUCUGCCAUCUGCAGAGGGAAGAAAAGAAGAGGUGAAACUGGAAGGUCCAAGGCUGACAGUCUGGCAUCAGCAAAAAGAUGCAAGUGUCUGGGAAUCCUUGGCUCUCCUACUGCUAACUUCUGUGCAGAGAUUGCCCUGUAUGGAUGGAGUUGGCAACACCUACCCACUCUCCUUUCUGAGCUUCUGUCAGGGACUGCUGUAGCCUGUGCUGACGAGGAUGCCUGCCAGAUCCCUCUUCACUGUGGCACCCUGUGCUCUGGACCUUUACCUGCCUUUCUCAAUAAUAUUUGAUAUUUUCCUCCUCCCGUUCCCAAAAGGCCUUAUUUCUGCUAGGAGACAGUAAAUAAAUGACACCAGCUAAUGACUGCUAACUAGUUUGAUUUCUCAUGGUAUCCUUGCCAGGUGACAUAAUAGGUAAGAGAAGCACGUGUGUCUGCAGAAGGCCCUACGUGACUCCAGGCGUGGGCAGUUUGGGCAGCGUGGUAUCUGCAGCAGGUAGCAUUUGCUAGGCAUGCACUAACUCUCUCGGAGCUCUGCUUUUUGCAUUAGGCACUGUGCUAGGUGCUGGGAUAGGACAUGAACUCCCUCUUAUGGAGGAAUUCAGUUUGGAAGGGAGUUGGGCAUGUUCGAAUAGUCAUUAUGAUAGUGGCUGUGCUCUGGAGCAGACCAUUUGUGUAAGGUCCUAUGUAAGAUCAGCUGAGCGAAUCCAUUAGACAUGUCGGGGAGAUUUCAGAGCCUCAGUCCAGGCCUGGGUGGUAGUUGGGGGGGGCUCUGCACUUUAGUUGUCUGUAGACUCAGAAUCAUGUGGAAAGCUGAUACUAUGGUGGAGGCAGAACUCUUCAGGGCAGUUUAUAUUGGAACAAGCACAGCCUGUGUCUAAAAGGAAUUUUCCUGGUGGAGCAGAAGCCUUGAUAGCAUGUUCAGCCCCACCCAGGGGUAGGGACGAUCUUCACGAGAAUUCACCCAAUUCUGGUAUGGUGCAGUGGCAAAACUGUGACUGGGGAAUAAUAAGACCUAGGUUGAAGUCCAAGUUUUCUUACAGAGAGCUGGAUCAAUUAAUCUAUAACUUCAUCGAGUACCUACGAUGUGCGAGGAGGGUAUGGGAAUCAGGCAUAUAGACUCCUUUCCUGAUCCCAAAAGCCCAUAGUCAGGGUUCAGGCCAAAGGUUGCAUGGCCUAAAGAGGAGGAAGGUAAGUGAUUAAUAAUUACUAUUAAACAACUUAAUGGCAGGAACUGAGUUACCUACAAUUACAUCUUUGUGUGUGUGUGUGUGUGUGUGUAUGUGUUUAAUAGGUACGCUGGCUCAUUGCUUGGAGCUAGGUACUAGCAAAGCCCUUGAUAAAUAUUAGUUGACUGACUAUGGUCUAUCAAUGAAAGGAAAGCCACUUCUGAGGGCCUUGGUGAAGUGAUGCUGUAUCAUUUGAAGAAAUAACAGAAAAUUCCCUCAGCUCUUAAGUGUGUCUAUAGUGCUGGAGGGUCCUUGGAGGGAAACGGGGAACUAAAUGCAGAUGCCAUCAUUAGUCUGGCCCAUGCCAUUGGGAGACCCUUGUCCUGUCAUGAGACGCGACCUGCCUAUGACUUCCGUCCAGGCCACUUGGAGUGGAGGCAAGUACCUUGGACCACGAAUCAGAGGCCUGGGCUCUACUCCCACUUCUGCCAUUUGCCAUCUGGGUGAAUCUGGGGGAGUCAGCCCUGCCCGUGCUGCGUAAAGGGAAUAAUGUCUACCCUGCAUUAAUACGGUAGUCCCCCUUUAUCUGCAGUUUCAUUUCCCGAGGUUUCCGUUCCCCGCAGCCACCUGCAGUCCAGAAGCAAGAUGAUCCUUCUCAUGUGCCAUCAGGUCAGUAGUAGCCUCAUGCGCCUCAUGCACCUGUGUCAUUCCCCUCACUGCUUCAUCUCAUCACGUAGGCGUUUUAUCAUCUCACGGGAUCCCAAGAAGAAGAAGGAGAGGUAGAGAAAGACAAGUCAACAUGGGCUUCUCUGAGCCCAGAGCUUCCUCUCGGUGGUGACCUGGUCUAAGGAUCAUUGUGGCUGGAUUGACAGGUAGUAGCUGUUGACUCUGGUUGGAGUUGAUUUUCUGUUGAUUUCUUUCGGGAAGAAAGCUGCUGGAGUCCCCCACCUAAGGAGUAUAUACUUCGUGGGAUGGAAGCAUUGCACCUGUUUUGGUAUGAGGGCGAAGGCGAGUGAAAGAAGGUGACCGAGCCAGGAGGAGAGAGCGCAGAUGGCUUGGUGGUGGUAUGGUGUGGACCUCCUUCCUGUUCCCUCUUAGGCAUGGGGAGUGGAGCAGCAGAGGGAGAGAGGCAUGAGGACACAAAGGAGGAAGCGCGCCAUUGCCAAGACCCCAAGGAAGAAGGAUGGAGAACGCUGGCAGUCCUGUCUGGCCCCCGGCCAGUUUCCUGCUGAAGAUGGCCAGCUCCUCUUGCCCGGUCUGCGUAUGUCCCUGCGCGAGCGUGCUGAGGGCGGGGGUGGGGCCUGCUUGCUGAGCUCCGGUCUAGAAUGGGAAGGGCACCUUUCUGGGGAUCCCAUUUGGACUUUGCACUCUAACAAGUGAGCUAUCUGAUUUUCUCCCUGGUGCCUUCCUCUCCUCCCCCUCCCUCCCCUCCACCCCUCUUUCCUCUCUCCAUCACCAUCUGGGUCCUCCUGCUUGGCACCCAACCAGCUGGAUGCCGCCACGCCUGGCGGUGCUGCACUGGCACGUGCGCAGUGUCUCAGAUCCUGGCACUGCGGCAAACCCACAGCCGCCAGACAUGCUCACGACCGCCACUUGGCGGCAGAGAGAGAGGGGGCGGCGCACACAGGCAGGCUGGGCGUCAGGCAGAGCUCUGGGCUGGGGGCUGGCACGACACGGGACCCUCGACAGCUCGCUGUGUCGGUACUCCAGCCAACCCCAACUAGACAGCCCCCGCCCUCCUGCCUCACUGCCCCCGGGAAAGGGAGUUAGCCUGCUACCACACUCAGUGUGUGGGAGCUACUGCAAGGGAAGCUGGGGCACACAGGGACAAGGGCACAGGCAAGAAGCCAAACCCAAGGCUCCAGGCCAGUGACCUGUACACCUCUCUGGGCAGUGGGGACAGGAAAAAAUACCGUCGGGGUGAAUGAGAGCUGGAGAGAGGCCAGCCGGCUGUGUUGUCACAGAGCUGGUGCCAGAAGAGGUUGGAAGAGAAGUGAGAAGGAGGGCCCCUCUAGCCUCGCUGCUGGGUAGUGGGGUGGUUUGCGCCUGGAUGCAUUUCAUCUGCCUUGUGACUGGCUGAGCUGUGGUUGAGAUGAAUCAGUUCUUUCUCCCUUGUUAGAAGGCCCAUAUUCAAUAACAGUCCUAGAAAAAUGAAGAGGUGCUCUAGGCCUAGAGAGGUAGGCAGGUAUAAGGAAGACAAAGGCACCUGGGACUUGUCCUUCCAGAAAGACUGUUAGGGGAGAUACAGUGUUUCGGAAUUUGUCAGUGGCACCCCAGUUAGGUAGAAUUUGGAUAAAUAUCCAUGUCUUUGAAGUCCACCCCUGGAAGGGAAACCACAAAUCAGCAAUAAGCCCUCAUAAAAAGGAAGGCUCUUAGGAGGGGAGUCCCCAGCAUCUGUGAUGACAGAGACCACCCCUGUGCCUUCAGGGGCAGUGCCCUUGGCAGUGCCACAAAACUGGACCUUGGGCCUCCAUCUGGAAGAACUUCUAGUAGGAUGGGCUUUCCUUCCUAGCCAGAAGCCGUGGAUUAGCAACUAGAAAGAUACUCAGGUAGAAGAUUUGGCUCUGGGUGAUGUUGAGGGAGACUGGGUGGCUCUGAUGGAGGAUAGGACCUGCCCAGAGGGAAGUCAAGCCAUAGCCGUGCUGGACUGAGCUGCUUAGGGUUGGGGGAGCUCUGGUUUCAGCAUUUCUGGAAGUGGAUGCCAACUUCAGAAGAGGGGAGAUGAUUUCCACAGCAGAGGAAAAAGCAGGGAGACACUCAGCCAAAUGGGUGAGUGGACAAUGUUUCUUUUCUCCUGUUCAAGAACUGCCAAUGUAAGCAGAAGACACAGUCAGAUUUCCCAGAUGGUGGAGGUGGGGGUGAAGGCAGAGUAAUGAAGAAGACAAACCUGAGGUGAUGCUAGGCCCCUGGUGGUAGCCCCUGGUGGAGCAGGGUUGGGCCUGGGUGCUGGUGAGUGAGGGGCAGGUCACAGAUGUAUAUGGGCUGAGCAGCCCAAAUCAGGGGUUCUUGAACUCCAGAGAGCAUGGGAUCACUUCAGGAGUUUCUAAUUCAGCGAAUCCGAAGUGUGGUUCAGAAAUGUGCAUUUUAAGCCAGCACUCGGGUGACCGCACUGCAGGUAGACAGAACUUUGAGAGACUGUUCUAAGAUGCGGCAGUCACGAUAGGACAGUUAACCUAGUCUGAUUUCUCUAGGCCUGUGCAUCUUUCUUCUUCCUCCCCAACCACAGGCAUGUCUUAUGCUGUCAUGCCUGUGGUCCGUGUGUUGUGAGAUGUGUGUCAGUGUGUCGUGGGUAGGAGCAGUUGGACAGAUUGUGAGGUCAAAUCAGGCAGAUUUAGCUUGUCAGAACCAUGCCUCUCACUUUACGGAACACUCCCAAAUUCUGAUGGUUGGCUGCCCUGUGUUUUUGAAACUUCACCACUGAGAACCACUCGGUUAGGAGCACAGCCGGGAGAUGGCUCUCUGUGGUCCAGUAAGAUUUGUGUGGAUUCUGUAGCUCAGUACAGGAUGAGUCCUAAUUAUACUUCUUCUUGGAGACAGGUCUGGGUCCUGGGUAGUGGAAGGAGGGGUGGACAGAGUACAGGGCCUAGCCUACUGCGGAUACCUAGCAAGAUGCAAAUGAGGCUGUUGUUUGAGCACUUGGUGGGAAUGAACACAGCAUGGGUCAGUCAAGUCCAGUUGAAAAGCCAUGGUAUGAGGUUGGAUAUCAGGGAAGGACUGUGGAUGUAGGGCAUGCUGAGUUCCUACUGAUUACCUCUUCCAGUGUUUUAGCCAUUGUUUGUGUAAAAGUGUGUGUGUGUGGUGGUUGGUAAGAUUAAGAGUCAACCCCAGGGGGGCGCCUGGCUGGCUCAGUUGGUGGAGCAUCUGACUUUUGAACUUGGGGUCAUGAGUUUGAGUCCCACAUUGGGUGUAGAGAUUACUUAAAAAAAAAAAAAAGUCAAUACUAGGUCACCUUUCCCCAUCACCUUCCUUCUGGUCCACUUAAAAUCAGCCUGCUUCCACACUAGUUUCUAACCAGACACUUCUCUGUGGCUGGAGAGCUGCAGGAAACACCAGGCUCAGACUACUGACAGGGAACAAUGCCAUUUACCCCUUGCCUAUCCUUUGUGUGGAAGGUUGUCUGGGCCCUCUGUAUGAUGGAGAAUGACAGGGUGGGUCCUCACCUAAUUUCACGUUCCUCCCAUAAAGUAUAGUCUCGCCCUGGAGGCUUUCCCUGGGGAUCACUUCCCAUCUUUCUCCAGACUUUAUGAACCAUGGCCUAGAUCUUCUAUGAAUAUCCUCUGUCUGGUUUUUCUUUCAUCUGCCCUUUUCACAAGGUAUCCAAGCUAUACUCCUGCAGACUGGGUCUGUAGCCCUUCUUGUAGAAAGGGCCUCCUUGGCAUUGGAGCAUUUCUUCCUUAGUCCUCAAGGACAUCCUUGGGGCUUACAAGUUUCUCACUAGUUGCUCCCAGCUGGUGGGUUGAGCUUCUCACUGCAGCCUAGAGAGAAAGGCCCUAUAACACAGGGUCCCAGCCCGGUUUAUUCCUGUUUCCAGGAGUUUUCCCAAAAGUUUCCUCCUGGUUUCUCUUUUACCUCUCCUCUCCCCAGUGUCACAAUGCAGAGGAAUGGAAGGUCCUUUCCCCAUGGAUUGCAACAUUUGGUCACCCUUCCUGAUGUAACAGGUUACAUUUCCCCUGACUGUUUAUAAGUUAUUCUCACCUACUGUUGGAUGUGAAGAAAAUGAGUAUGUCUUGGAGGCUGGUUGUACUUAUGGGAAGUGUAGGUGAUAGGGCUGGGGGCAUAUCCCUUGCGCCUCUGUACCCAUGGGGCCCAUCCUUGCUGGCAUGUGUGUAUCCCCAUAGCUCUCUCUGCCUGGCCCUGCUGGUUGCUGACAGUGUGCAUGCUUGUUUCAUUGGGGCAGUUAUAUACACAGAGCUCUGUAUUUCAGGUGUGAAUUUCUAUACAGAGAUGAAUGUUUGGAUGAGAAAAUGUGCCUUAAAGCAACCAGGCUGGUGGAGGUUUGGGGAAUUGGUGAUGUAUAAGCCCUAUAAGUGGCUAAGGAACAAAUAGAAGGAAAUUAACAGAAGGAAUUAAGCAGAAGGGUGCUACUGGGUCUGGAAUACUUGGCUUUCUUGGUUCUUGUGCAUGCUUCUGUAAUGUAGAAAGGGCUAGAGGGUUGAGGGAAGAAGGGUUUCUUUUUGUGGCUCUACUGCAGACUGCCCCAUUCGGCUGCUGCAGCUUUAGAUUUUCUCAUAUUCUUCCAGAAGACUUUGAGUUUUGUUCCUAGUUGAGAAUGGGGUACCUGAAGCCGUCGCCACACUGAUUCUGGUUUAGUGCAAAAACAGCCAAGCUCCCUUCCACCUCCUGUCCCCUGGUACUGAUCCUAGCAGUAAGUAGGCUAGGCCAGAAUUUGGAUGCCUUAGGGCCCAUGUAUGUCAGAAACCCUAGGCCUUUGCCCCAGGCCGUGGAAGACCAAUAUUAGGAGCCAUGGAUUUAAGCUCACUUUAGGGUUGUUGGGGUGGGGCCUGUAUUUCAAGAUAGAUGUUGAUGUGCCAGGCGUUUUAAGUUGGGUCUCCUUCUCCUCAGGAGAAGCAACAGGGUUUACCCAGGGUGACCUGGUGUUCGCCUCUAGCAUUCUGCAUAGGGCCUGACGACCUGGCCUUCCUUCCACCAGAACAGCCCACUGAGCAUCUCUGAAGCAGGAGCGGAGCUGUGGGGACUUCUGGUCUGAGAAUGGGAUUGGGGAGGAAGGCUUCCAGUCACUGGGAACAUGGAAUGGCAUACCUGACUCCACAGUCAGCCAGACUCUUAUUUCUCAAGUUACAGGGCUCCUGUUAAGGACAGUGGCUUAGAAUCAGCUCCUGUCCCCUGCUGUGCAUGUACACGAUGUCUCUAGACCAGGGUGUCCCCAUGUAAGGGAACAGGCCGGAGGGCAGGAGGAGGCAGAGGAGGGAUUUCUGGCUAUGUUAACUCCUGGUAAAAAUAUUCACAGUUCAAACAACAGCCAAUCUGUCCUGGUUGUAAACUCCUAAAAAUGUACACCACCACGCCUCUAAUCAUCCCCUACCAGGCGUUUGCCCCAGUUUUCUUUAAAAUGUUUCCUCUUUCCCUCCUAUCUUUCUUUCUAAUUUUUGUUUUGUUUUCAACUUUUACACACAAAUCACAUUCCCUGAAAGCACAGAGUGAAAAAGCUUCUUUCCCCCUACACGUGCUGCUAAGAAAAUAGUCUUAUACACAGAGUUUCAAUGGGAAAAGAAAAGGAUAGGAAGGGAGGGACAGAGGAGAGGCUGAGAGGCAGGAAGGGUGGUGGCAAGAGCGCCAGCACGGCAGGGCCUGCAUUUAUAACUGGCAUCACUGAAGGAUUGCUUCCCCCCUACCCUGGUUGGCUAGAGUUGGAGCUCUUAAUUUGAGAAAUGGAUUGGGUCAGAAGUGAGGUUCACAGAACAUGUGGGCACUAGGGACUCGGCUGAUUUUCCCAUCUUUUCGGCACAUAAGCCUCUGCUUCGGUAUUAACAUGUUCAUGGGCAGAGUGACAGGCCAGGAAGUGGAAAUCCCAGGGCUGACUGAACUGUGUGCGCAUUUUAAAUGGAUGAUGGUAGUGGAAGAAGCCCUAAAGGAGAAAGUCUGCAAGGAGAAUACCUUGAGAGGGGAUCCCCCCACCCCCCCCCCCGCCAUUCCCGCCCAAGCCUGGGUAAGGGCGGUAGCAGAAACUGGAGGACUGGGAGCUUUUGCAGGCUUUUCUUUGCUGAAAUAAAACACCUGCUUUUCUACCUUGUGCCACUUUAGCUGGGCUUUGGGGUCACCACCUGAUGCUGGCAGAAACAAUGAGGUUAGAGGUGGGGAACCCUCUUCUAGCUCAUUCCUUUCAUUGGUUUCCCUUGGUGAUAGCACUCUGUCAGAGAUUCGCCUUGUGCUUCGGUCAUUGCCUUGCCCACCCACCCCCUGAGCUGUCCUCAGCUCCAGAGCCCAGGGCCCUCCCAGACAGCCUCUGACUCUUUGGGUGGUGCCCCCAGCAGCUGCUGCUUACUGGUGGGAGGAAGGGCAAGGGCAGAGGAGGAGGGAAGAACACAGGUGCGGAAACAAGGGUCCCUGCAAAGGCAAGGAUUUCAAGUGACCAGGAAUGUAAAGGGGCCACUGGGCAUGGAAAUAGAAGUUGGGGUUUGUGAAAGAAGUGAAUGGGAGGAAAUAGUGGUUAGCUGCAGGAAAGGGAAGUAUACCCAAGAUUCAGAAACCACACAGUCCUGUCCACCCCUUUCUUCCUGGGACCGCCAAGAUAUGUUUGACAACACUGACUUUUCUAACUAGCGGCUGGGAACAAAGGGGUGUUAGCAGUCCUGAUACUCAACUCAGGGGGCAAAGGUGGGUCCCUCCCCAGUCUCCAGGCUCUUCUCCCCAUGGCCAGCCCCGGCUUUGGAAGCUGGGUACAGCCAGGGGCAGGCU